rnacentral:lncRNA from 1 species
GCGAGGUGGAACAAAGAGUCAUUGGCUAAAUUAAAUAUAAUGGAAACGGUCCAGGCUGUGGUGAAGCAACUGCGAACCAUCCACGGCGCACAGCCCACAGGCCAUCACCAAAGCGUUAUUAAAUCAUGUGGGUCGCGUGUCACGUGAACCACAUUUGGCGCUACUGACGUGGCUGCAAUCCAUUGUUGAUCCUAUUUGAUGGGUGGUGCACAAUAAAAUUUUGAGAU